rnacentral:rRNA from 1 species
AGCGGAGGAAAAGAAACCAACAGGGAUUGCCCUAGUAACGGCGAGUGAAGCGGCAACAGCUCAAAUUUGAAAUCUGGCGCAAGCCCGAGUUGUAAUUUGUAGAGGAUGCUUCUGGGUAGCGACCGGUCUAAGUUCCUUGGAACAGGACGUCAUAGAGGGUGAGAAUCCCGUAUGUGACCGGCCCGCACCCUUGACGUAGCUCCUUCGACGAGUCGAGUUGUUUGGGAAUGCAGCUCUAAAUGGGAGGUAAAUUUCUUCUAAAGCUAAAUACCGGCCAGAGACCGAUAGCGCACAAGUAGAGUGAUCGAAAGAUGAAAAGUACUUUGGAAAGAGAGUUAAACAGCACGUGAAAUUGUUGAAAGGGAAGCGCCUACAAUCAGACUUCGCGGCAGUGUUCCGCCGGCCUUCUGGCCGGUUCAUUCUCUGUCGCGAGGCCAUCAUCGUCUCGGCCCGCUGGAUAAGACCUUGGGAAUGUAGCUCACCUUCGGGGGAGUGUUAUAGCCCUGGGUGAUGCAGCGCGGCUGGGGCGAGGUCCGCGCUUCGGCAAGGAUGAUGGCGUAAUGGUUGUCGGCGGCCCGUCUUGAAACACGGACCAAGGAGUCUAACAUCUAUGCGAGUGUUCGGGUGUCAAACCCCUACGCGUAAUGAAAGUGAACGGAGGUGGGAACCGCAAGGUGCACCAUCGACCGAUCCUGAUGUCCUCGGAUGGAUUUGAGUAAGAGCAUAGCUGUUGGGACCCGAAAGAUGGUGAACUAUGCCUGAAUAGGGUGAAGCCAGAGGAAACUCUGGUGGAGGCUCGCAGCGGUUCUGACGUGCAAAUCGAUCGUCAAAUUUGGGUAUAGGGGCGAAAGACUAAUCGAACCAUCUAGUAGCUGGUUCCUGCCGAAGUU